rnacentral:rRNA from 1 species
CCUACGGGCGGCAGCAGUAGGGAAUCUUUCACAAUGGGCGAAAGCCUGAUGGAGCAACGCCGCGUGCAGGAUGAAGGCCUUCGGGUUGUAAACUGCUUUUAUAAGCGAGAAAUAUGAUGGUAACUUAUGAAUAAGGAUCGGCUAACUACGUGCCAGCAGCCGCGGUCAUACGUAGGAUCCGAGCAUUAUCCGGAGUGACUGGGUGUAAAGAGUUGCGUAGGUGACAUAAUAAGUAGCUAGUGAAAUCUGGUGGCUCAACCAUUCAGACUAUUAGCUAAACUGUUAAGCUCGAGACCGUUAGGGGUAACUGGAAUUUCUAGUGUAGGAGUGAAAUCCGUAGAUAUUAGAAGGAACACCAAUAGCGUAGGCAGGUUGCUGGGACGGUUCUGACACUAAGGCACGAAAGCGUAGGGAGCAAACGGGAUUAGAUACCCCAGUAGUC